GUUGUCAUUGCAUAUAUUUUUAUUUAUGGGUUUCGGCCCGUAGCCUUGUGUUCGCCCUAUAUCAUGUUCGCCUUGGGUACUGUUAACCCUUCGAUUCAGUGAAAGUAAUGAACGGAGAAAAAAACACAUUUUUUUUUUAAAUUGUAUAAUGUAUUAUUCAUAACAGUAACACAAUUGUAUUGGUUGUGUCUUGUCUAUAUUUGAUAUCUGAUACGCAACAUAUUCUUGAAGUGUCAGAAAUAUUUUGCCAGCAAUAGUUCUUCCCCAUAGUAAAUACUGGAAACCAUACACUAUUGCAUACAUGCAUCUAGUCCAAAUUUUUUACGCUCUUAAAUAUUAAUUUAAGCUGUCCUACCGUAACCCAAAUUCGACGACACCUAAAUUCGACGAUGUUCUAUUUGUAUUGAUUAAAUGGAUGAUUAUUGUCUUGGAAUCAUUUCAAAGUAAUACAUCGGAGUCUAAAAUUAUUAUUUUGUGCUAUUAAACAUUUCAUUAUUUCUUUAAUUAUUUGCUAAAUAUUGCUUCAUGUAAUCGUUACAUUGUCGAAUUUGGGUCACAGUUUGCAAAUAGAUGCCCCUAAUGUUAUUGUAAGCCAAUAAUAAGUUUCAUUAACACCUCGUUGUAGGUAUACCACCUCUAUAAAAACCAAUUUACCGAAACCUCCACGGCAACCUUGGAUCACUUCUCUUUCUUAUAUAUAUAAACCAACUCCCUUCUUCCGUCACUAAAUCCAAGGUUCGCCUUUUUGCAGACGAUACAGCUAUUUACCUCACUGUAAACUCUCUCUCAGGUUGUGCAUCUCUGCAACAAGACCUAGACAAGCUUCAGGAAUGGGAACAAGAGUGGGACAUGGAAUUUAACCCAUCCAAAUGCCAGGUCCUACACAUCACAAGGAACCGCAACGUCAUUGAACACGGUUACUUUCUCCAUGGCCAAGCUCUUGAGUCCGUCUCUGAUGCUAAAUAUCUUGGACUCGAUCUCUCUUCUGACCUCAGCUAUAAUACACACAUUGACAGAAUCACCAACAAUACAAACAAAUCACUAGGCUUCAUUAAAAGGAACAUCACAACACAUAAUUAAAAGGUACGAGAACUCGCAUACAAGUCUCUGGUCUGACUACAAGUUGAAUACGCUUCCACUGUCUGGAGCCCAUAGACCAAAACUGCCAUCAAUAAAGUGGAAAGAGUGCAGAACCGGGCUGCACGCUGGGUGCAGCGAGAUUACUCUCCCUUUUCCAGUGUCUCGGCCAUGGUACAAGAUCUAGGCUGGAGAUCGCUCGCAGAUCGUAGAAAUGACAGCAAACUCAUCAUGUUCUACAAAAUCUAUCACAACCUUGUUGCCAUACCUCUCCCUCAAUAUAUAAAAGCAACAAUCCGCUUCACUAGACACAUGCACCCACUGUAUCUACAAAAGAUACAGACAGGAUCACUCUACCACUAUUACUCCUUUUUCCCACACAGCAUCACACUAUGGGACAAGCUCUCAGCUGAUAUCGCUACCCUAUCCGAUCUUGAAAAGUUCAAGAGGGCAGUGGUAAAUGUGCGGUACUAGUCUGUUAAAUGAUGUUUUUAACCCUCACUUUUAUCUUUCACCUUCACUAGACUCUUUUAACCACUUGACUUCUCUCCAUUCUCCUGGAGAUUUCAAGCUUUUAGUCUCACUACCCAACAAUAUCCUUUGCUGGGUCCUUUUUACCUUUCACACUCACUAAUGUUCCUGACGUGCACCUUUUCCCUGCCUAUAAUACUCGAAAGAGCGGUUUGCAGUAUACAGAGGUAGAUAGAUAGCAUUUACUAUAUAAAUCAAUUUACGGAACUUGUCAUUUACCGAAACCUCCAUAACCCCACUGGGAUACUUUUUAUAUAGACACCAAACGCAAAGCCUAUCCCAAGGCAAUGCCCCAUUUGCGUGGUAAAGAGCAAGACGACUAUGUACCUCCAGGUAGCAGACCACGUUCGCUGGGUGCAAGCACUGACGGCAGACCCCAUGAAGCCGUUAAUGUCCGAGGCACGUGCUAAGACCGGGCGGAAAGUGAAGAAGACAAAGCCGAGGAAUUACUACUCUUGCUGGCUGUGCGACCGGUCGGUGAUUGACCGGCUGCGUCAUCUAGAACAGGAGCACAAAAUGGAGGCUGGGACAUUCAAUUUCGUUUACACAAGAGGGCCGUUUCCGGAAGGUCACAAAAACUUAAGGAAAGGUGACCAGCAGACUCGCCACUCAUGAUGACUCGGCAUAGGAGGAUGAGAAGGUGGAGGAUGAGGAGGAGGAGGAAGAGGACUUUUCGUUCCUAACGCGGAAAUACUGCCUGAGCCUGGAACCCAAUGCAAGGGUGAUGCAUGGUCGGAGAAGCUGCAAGUAACAAUAUGGAUUGCUUAUAUAGUGUAAAGUCUCGAGUCCGUUUACGGGGUAGAACCAGUACUUGGUGCAUUAAGCCCUGUUUUCCCAGAUUUUUUUAAAUUAUAUACAUUUCAAUUGAUAGUCAUUAUUAUUGCAACAUGUAUAUAUCUUAAAAACCGUGAGGAAAUAUAUAUAAGUACAUUAAAAUUUAAGAUAAAUAUUAUUUAUUUAUAAUACUUUGGAAUUACUGGUUGUGAGUUAAUUAUAUGCGAUUUCACCAUCUAGCAUAGAAUAUCAUCCAAUAAUACUUGUUGCAGUUUCAAUCGUUGACUCAUAUGUAGGCUACAUGUUCCUGCUGAGCAGGCCAGGUGGGUUGACAAACGAGUCGAAAACACAAGAGGUCAACAUGAAGAUCAACCGGUUCCUGGCCCUGUCUGGCUACUUGGAAGGAGUGGUGUUGAGUGACGUGCUGUUGUGGAAGGGCCAUAUGGAGGUCCACGACAGUUCCUUAACACCACUCACCAGCUGAAGACGGUGCAGACUGCACUAACGGCAAUCAAGAACUUCCUGAAGUGGUGCGAGGGAACGGUCUAGCGGACGCCCGCGCAUUGAACAAUUCCGAUCUCCUUCUCACAGGCUGCCUGACCUCAACCCGCCUGGAUAUGAGCCGUCGCGAGGUUAUUCGGAGGGUAGAGGACAGUGCCGCCAUCCUGACGGACGCAAACCUGGAGCGCCACUUCACUGAGAGUGAGCAUGUAGUGAAAACGAUCAAGGUGAUCCAGGAGCCCCCAGCUGGCACACCUGAAAGAUAUUCGGGGAAUAAUUAUUAAACUGAUAGCGCUCUAUAACGCCUCCUGAACCGGCAGGUAUACAAACCUGAGGUGGUUCUUGCUUAAGUGUCAUCAGGAUGAUUUGGUCAUUUCAGAGAUGUACCCUUUAUAGCUCAACUUGAGUUAUUGUUGCUGGUCUUUGUCUGUUUUGCGAUGUGUGUCUAUAUGUCAACAUUUUUACUUUAACAAUAUCUCCUACUUAACCUUUGGGCAAAGCUUGAUGAAACUGGCAGGAAUAUUCCUGGCAUGAAGCUCCUUCAAUGUUGCUCCAAGAAUUGUAUUCCAUGAAAUCCUUGUUGCCGUGGAAACCAAAAGGAAAAACUUUAAAAAUCUACUCUGAAACUGCAAGGCCUUGGGCUGAGAUAUUUAGCAUGAAACAUUGUGUGGUGGACCUUUACCCGUGGGCAAGUCGAUUUUUUGUCGAGCCCACUUAUGGAGAACUCGACAUAUUUGUCACAGUUGGCGGUUUGGUGUAUGUGGAUCAGUCCGUCAGUAUGAAAGUCCGGGUUAGGCUUGUCUGGAGCGUAAGUCUUUUAUUGAAUGGAGAAAUUUCAAAUAACUUACAAUAAAUGUUCACAAUCAUGACACCGCCGAUCACUGCUCAAGAAAACGUCAAUAUCUCAAAGGUCAAGGUCACACUUUGAGUUUAAAUGUCAAAAAUGGCCAUAAAUGACCUUGUCUGGGCCAUUAUUAAGUCAUUCAUUGUCAGAAAUAAAUUCAAUUGAAAAUCAUGUGUUCACCAUAAUUUGACGGUGUUGCAUGGGAAGGAAUAAUGUCGAAAUCUCGAAGGUCAAGGUCACACUUUUAGUUCAAAGGUAAAAAUGGCCAUAAAUGAGCAUGUCCGGGCCAUAAAUGUGUCAUUCAUUGUAAGAUUUUAAAAUCAUUAAGCACAUUUGUUCACCAUCACUCGACGGUGUGUCAUAAGAAAGAAUUACGUCAAAAUCUCCAAACUCAAGAUUACACUUAAGAGUUCAAAGGUUAAUUGGUAGGACUUGUACCAUGAUUGUUCAAACUAUGUUCCUGGGGUCAAAAUUGCCCUACUGGGGAGGGAAAUGUAAUUUCCUUAUUAGUAUAUUGUAAAAACUUCAAAAACAAAAAUCUUCUCAUAAACCACAAGGCCUAGAGCAAAGAUAUUUGGCAUGAAACUUCAUCUUGUGGACCUUCACCAAGUAUCAUUGGAUCAUAUUUGCCCCACCCUCGGAUCAAAUUUGUUUUCCUUAUAUAAUAUAUAUUAUAAUGAACACUUUAAAAUAUUCUUCUCAAAAACUGCAGUGCGAACAUACAUAUUUUGCAUAAAACAUCAUAUGGUGAACUUCUAUACAGAUUUUUAAAAUUAUCGGCUGGGGGUACCAAUGAUAAAUUCAUUGAAUUUACCUGCUAAGAUUCAUUUGCUUUGUGGAUAUGCAAUAACUUGCAAUGUUUUUAAAGUGAUUGAAUGGUUCAACAUUAACAUAAAAUUAAAAAGAAAAAAACUAUUUCAUACAUCAUAUUAUGCUUAUAAAAAGCCAUAAUUGUAAUGCUUUCAUGGAAAAAAUGAAUGUUUGCUUAAUUUUCAAAAAUAUUAAUAAAUCUUUAAUGUUAAGGAUUCCUCAUAAAGGUUUUACGUGUGCACAGAAUGUUAUGGUAAUCUCCAAAGCAUUCCCAUUACAAAAUACAUCAGAUGUCUAUGGAUAAGUUAUUUUUAUGCCCCCUUUCGAAGAAAAGGGGGUAUAUAGUUUUCGCACUGUCCGUCUGUCUGUCAGUCUGUCACACUUUUCGUGUCCGCUUUCUAAUUCAAAUAAUUUUCAUUCGAUCUUUACCAAACUUGGUUAGAAGUUGUGUCUAGACAAUAUCUAGGUCAAGUUCGAAUAUGGGUCAUGCCGGGUCAAAAACUAGGUCACGGGGUCACUUAGUGCAUUUCAAGGAUUUAGCAUGGUGUCUGCUCUCUAAUUGAAGUAGUUUGCAUCAACAUUCAUGCGCCUGUCAAGUAUCGGGCAUUUACGCAGCAAAACACCCUCUCACACAUUCAAAUCUCAUGCUCUCCUUUUUUUAUACGCCCGUUUUUAAAAACGGGACGUAUUAUAGUUUCACCCUUGGCGGGCGGCGUUCACAGCAGUGUCCGCUCUCUAAUUCAAAUAGUUUUCAUCCGAUCUUCACCAAACUUGGUCAGAAGUUGUGUCUAGACAUUAUCUAGGUCAAGUUCGAAUAUGGGUCAUGCCGGGUCAAAAACUAGGUCACCAGGUCACGUAGUGCAUUUCAAGGAUUUAGCAUGGUGUCUGCUUUCUAAUUGAAGUAGAUUUCACCCGAUCUUCACCAAAUUUGGUCAGAAGUUGUGUAUAGAUGAUAUGUAGGUCAAGUUCAAAUAUGGGUCAUGCCGGAUCAAAAACUAGGUCAUGUGGUCACUUAGUGCAUUUCAAGCAUUGAGCAUGGUGUCCGCUCUCUAAUUGAAGUAGUUUUCAUCUGAUCUUCACCUAAUUUGGCCAGAAGUUGUGUCUAGAUGAUAUGUAGGUCAAGUUGGAAUAUGGGUCAUUCAGGGUCAAAAACGAGGUCACAAGGUCACAUAGUGCAUUUCAAGUAUUUAGCAUGGUGUCCGCUCUCUUAUUGAAGUAGUUUUUAUAUGAUCUUCACCAAAUUUAGUCAGAUGUUAUACUAAAUGAUAUCUAGGUCAAGUUUAAAUAUGGGUCAUGCCGGGUCAUCAACUAGGUCUCGAGGUUACUUAGUGCAUUUCAAGCAUUGAGCAUGGUGUUCAAAACCUUCGAACGGGCGUAUCUUGUGACAGUUUGGCACUCUUGUUUAAAACUGACGAUGCAUGAAACUAUUUUCACUUAUAUUUUUUAUGUAAUUUAAAUGCCAAAAUUUAGAAAAUGCAUAUGAAUGGGAAACGAAACUGUAAGUAAGUAAAUAGUGUAACAGUUACUGUACAAACAACCCAUUUUUCAAAAGAAGCGUUUUUUUUGUAAACUGUACUGAUGGUUUUGCUAGUUAUUCCAUAGGUUGUUGAUAACUCGCGUUUGUUCAGCUAAUUUCAUUAUUUCUUUUAUAGCCAUUAUUGUGUUAUCAUGGUCAUUGAUGUGAACAAAAGCAAACUGUUAUUUUUACAGCAUCCAGUAAAAAUACCCAUAUUGUAAAUCUCACGGGUACUACUGCUCUAAUGUUUGAUCAAGAAUGCAUCUAAUGGAUUAUCAAACUAGUGGUGUCACUCAAUUGAUUUUUGCAUGUAUAGGUAGGAGUACCUAAAGAUUGAGCUGGAGACAGUGAAGGUGCUGACCUCUGUGUGGAACACUUAGCAGCUGGCAAGUUUUCAUAUUGAAGGGCAUGGUUCCCAACCGCCCAUCACACACAGAAUGUAGCUUGUCGUCUUCUGCAGUAAAAACUGGGUGCUGGAAGAUGCUUUCUGCUAUAUUGACUGCUUCCAAGCGCUUCCUGGACCUAAAAAUUAUCUCCCAGCAGCAACCUCCCCAAGGUGUGACGAGAGUCUUCAAGUGUUCCAGACGGCUGGUGAUGCAUUUCAAGAAAAGCCAUCAGAAUCUUGCAAUGAUCUGUAUACUUAAUAAAUGACAAAACAACGA